rnacentral:rRNA from 1 species
UACGGGGGGAGCAAGCGUUGUUCGGAUUUACUGGGCGUAAAGGGCGCGUAGGCGGCGUAACAAGUCACUUGUGAAAUCUCCGGGCUUAACCCGGAGCGGCCAAGUGAUACUGUUGUGCUAGAGUGCGGAAGAGGCGAGUGGAAUUCCCGGUGUAGCGGUGAAAUGCGCAGAUAUCGGGAGGAACACCAAUGGCGAAGGCAGCUCGCUGGGACGGUACUGACGCUGAGGCGCGAAAGCGUGGGGAGCAAACAGG